rnacentral:rRNA from 1 species
UACGUAGGGGGCAAGCGUUGUCCGGAUUUAUUGGGCGUAAAGAGCGUGUAGGCGGCCAAGCAGGUCCGCUGUGAAAACUCGAGGCUCAACCUCGAGACGUCGGUGGAAACCGUUUGGCUAGAGUCCGGAAGAGGAGAGUGGAAUUCCUGGUGUAGCGGUGAAAUGCGCAGAUAUCAGGAAGAACACCCGUGGCGAAGGCGGCUCUCUGGGACGGUACUGACGCUGAGGAGCGAAAGCGUGGGUAGCAAACAGG